rnacentral:rRNA from 1 species
AUUGAACGCUGGCGGCAGGCCUAACACAUGCAAGUCGAGCGAGCGGCGGACGGGUGAGUAAUGUAUGGGGACUGCCCGAUAGAGGGGGAUAACUACUGGAAACGGUAGCUAAUACCGCAUACUAUCGGAUAACCCAUAUGGGAUUAGCUAGUAGGUGGGGUAAUGGCUCACCUAGGCGACGAUCCCUAUCUGGUCUGAGAGGAUGAUCAUCCAAACUGGGAUGGAGACACGGCACAGACCCCUACGGAGGCAGCAGUGGGGAAUAUGGAACAGUGGGCGCAAGCCUGAUGCAGCCAUGCCGCGUGUAUGAAGAAGGCCCUAGGGUUUUAAAGUACUUUCAGUCGGGAGGCGUUACCGACAGAAGAAGCACCGGCUAACUCCGUGCCAGCAGCCGCGGUAAUUC